rnacentral:rRNA from 1 species
CGGAUUGAUACUAAGCCAUGCGAGUCAUUGUAGCAAUACAAGGCAUACGGCUCAGUAACGCGUAGUCAACCUAACCUAUGGACGGGAAUAACCUCGGGAAACUGAGAAUAAUGCCCGAUAGAACAUUAUACCUGGAAUGGUUUAUGUUCCAAAUGAUUUAUCGCCGUAGGAUGGGACUGCGGCCUAUCAGUUUGUUGGUGAGGUAAUGGCCCACCAAGACUAUUACAGGUACGGGCUCUGAGAGGAGUAGCCCGGAGAUGGGUACUGAGGCACGGACCCAGGCCCUAUGGGGCGCAGCAGGCGAGAAAACUUUGCAAUGUGCGAAAGCACGACAAGGUUAAUCCGAGUGAUUUCUGCUAAAGAAAUCUUUUGUUAGUCCUAGAAACACUAACGAAUAAGGGGUGGGCAAGUUCUGGUGUCAGCCGCCGCGGUAAAACCAGCACCUCAAGUGGUCAGGAUGAUUAUUGGGCCUAAAGCAUCCGUAGCCGGCUCUGUAAGUUUUCGGUUAAAUCUGUACGCUUAACGUACAGGCCGCCGGGAAUACUGCAAAGCUAGGGAGUGGGAGAAGUAGACGGUACUCGGUAGGAAGUGGUAAAAUGCUUUGAUCUAUCGAUGACCACCUGUGGCGAAGGCGGUCUACUAGAACACGUCCGACGGUGAGGGAUGAAAGCUGGGGGAGCAAACCGGAUUAGAUACCCGGGUAGUCCCAGCUGUAAACUAUGCAAACUCAGUGAUGCAUUGGCUUGUGGCCAAUGCAGUGCUGCAGGGAAGCCGUUAAGUUUGCCGCCUGGGAAGUACGUACGCAAGUAUGAAACUUAAAGGAAUU